rnacentral:rRNA from 2 species
AUAACGACUCUCGGCAACGGAUAUCUCGGCUCUCGCAUCGAUGAAGAACGUAGCGAACUGCGAUACUUGGUGUGAAUUGCAGAAUCCCGUGAACCAUCGAGUCUUUGAACGCAAGUUGCGCCCGAAGCCUUCGGGUGAGGGCACGUUUGCCUGGGUGUCACA